UGGGCCGGUUGACGGGUCUAAGUGAGCUAUACGAAUGCUUAGUGCAUGUGUGUGAGUCUUGCGUGUCAAGGGAUGCACUCUCGUGCCGUGGGCGUGCGAGGAGGACGACAAAGGUUAAAGUAAAGUAAAAAAUGGAGGAGGAGAGGGUGCGUAGGCGCAGACCUGAGGUGGUACCGCCGUCAGGCUUCGCGUCGGUAGAGGCGACGGCGUCAGCAACGCGGCGCGCCGAAACCGUCCGCGGCAGCAGAACAGGGGACGAAGCGCCGCGGACGUGCUCCGCGUAGUCCUCAGUGGCGGAGGCGAAGGCCCUUCUACGAGGGCGCGAGACGGGAUGUACGAUCGCGGAGGUGGUGACCCCGCGGGCUGAGGCUGCUCCGGCGACGCCACUCAUAAGCGGGGCAACCGCGUAAGGUAGCUCGUUCAACGUCCGGCCGGAAAGAAAGAAUCAAGGAACACGUCCUUAGAAACCACCUCCGCCUCGACUCGUUUGAGCGGACGGGUUAGACGAUAAUGGGCGAGCAUUCGAGCUAUCUAGUAGUCAGUCGCGGUAGGUUUAGGCUAAGAUGGGAACUUACAAGAUGGACGUUCUUUAACAAGAGAUUCCUACUAAUGACCCUAGACUGACACCGUCAACCAAGAUGACUCAUGAGGCUCUGGUACGGACGACGUUGACUCGAAAAGUCCUGGGUUGACCAUAGUAAAGAAAUACUCUCUCCUACCGCGGUUUUAAAGUAUACCCCACCAAAAGGUCCGAAUCUCUUUCUCAAACUCUACCGAUUCCUAAUAAACUUCGGUUUUUCACCUCCCUAAUAUUAACUACGUUCGACACCUUCACCCAAUAAAAGUUCUAAUAAACAAUUUUCGCUUGAUAUAACGGAACAACACCGUGAUCUAAAGAGUCUCUUAUACAACUUCGUUACGUUCCUUAAGUAGUUCGUCCUUUUGUAAAGUCUGCUUGCGAAUCAUAACCACUCUCGACUAUAUAGAUCCGAAGGAAAACACUCACCGAGUUAACUACGAGACGUACGUCCACGACGUUAAGUAACAACCGGUAGGGGUCGAACACGACAACGUCUUUAGUCAGCUCAGGAAGCGGGACCCCCACAAAAACAACCAAGAUGAAAGUAUCGUCUACAAGAAGGUGGUCAUUAGGGUAAUGACUCCUAACCUGCGGGCAUGUAACUAGUUUAGUGUCCGUUAUUAUGGAAGAAUAGUCUCGACCUCGAACUUCUAGAAACAUCACGUACACCCGACCAAUUAAAAUGUAAACAGUCUUUACCUAAGAUAUAUUACAAGAGACGAUGAUUUCGUUCGAUCAAUUUAUUGACUUCUUGGUGGACUUCGUAAUAGUGUAUCGAGGAACUAAUACGUAACAAGGAGCAUUCGGUUGGAAAGACAGUCGUGACUAUCAAAACGAAUUCCAUACACACUACACUUAUCGCUUUCGCAUGCAAACUGAAGUGACUGCAGUAUCACCCUAACUAGUAUCGUUAAUAAAUACAUUUUCAACUUCUUUUUUAGAAGUACAUUUCGUCACCUCCAGGAAUUGGACAUUUAAAACACGUAAGAACAUAACUAAACUAAGUUCUCGCAACUAGCGGAUCGUCACUACAGCCUGCCAGAAUCACCUCUCAGACACGACUCCAUCCUUGGAGCUUUCUAAAGAGCCAAGGACUGGAGUGGUCAGGAUUUUAUAAACAUCUGAGUUCAAACAACUUUAGAACCUCUACUGACCUGGCAGACUUUACAUUCAAUAGUUACGCGAAAAAAAAAUGCCCAUCAAUAGUUACACGAAACGUUCAUGAAAAUCUCUACUCUUUGG
rnacentral:rRNA from 1 species